UAUCCUACGGGAGGCAGCAGUAGGGAAUCUUCCACAAUGGGCGAAAGCCUGAUGGAGCAACGCCGCGUGAAGGAAGAAGUAUUUCGGUAUGUAAACUUCUAUCAGCAGGGAAGAAAAUGACGGUACCUGACUAAGAAGCCCCGGCUAACUACGUGCCAGCAGCCGCGGUAAUACGUAGGGGGCAAGCGUUAUCCGGAUUUACUGGGUGUAAAGGGAGCGUAGGCGGUGCAGCAAGUCAGAAGUGAAAGCCCGGGGCUCAACUCCGGGACUGCUUUUGAAACUGUUGAACUAGAUUGCAGGAGAGG
rnacentral:rRNA from 1 species